GCCUCCGUGGCUUGGUCGGGAGAACACCUGACCAUGGUUCGGUAGAUUUCUGGUUCGAGCCCAGGUGAAGGCA